GGGCAGUGGGGGCUGCUAUACAUGCAGUCGACGAGUUCUCGUUGAUGAUCGGUGCUUGCACCGAGAUUCAACAUGGAACGAGUGGCGGACGGGUGAGUAACACGUGGGUAACCUGCCCUUAAGUGGGGGAUAACAUUUGGAAACAGAUGCUAAUACCGCAUAGAUCCAAGAACCGCAUGGUUCUUGGCUGAAAGAUGGCGUAAGCUAUCGCUUUUGGAUGGACCCGCGGCGUAUUAGCUAGUUGGUGAGGUAAUGGCUCACCAAGGCGAUGAUACGUAGCCGAACUGAGAGGUUGAUCGGCCACAUUGGGACUGAGACACGGCCCAAACUCCUACGGGAGGCAGCAGUAGGGAAUCUUCCACAAUGGACGCAAGUCUGAUGGAGCAACGCCGCGUGAGUGAAGAAGGCUUUCGGGUCGUAAAACUCUGUUGUUGGAGAAGAAUGGUCGGCAGAGUAACUGUUGUCGGCGUGACGGUAUCCAACCAGAAAGCCACGGCUAACUACGUGCCAGCAGCCGCGGUAAUACGUAGGUGGCAAGCGUUAUCCGGAUUUAUUGGGCGUAAAGCGAGCGCAGGCGGUUUUUUAAGUCUGAUGUGAAAGCCCUCGGCUUAACCGAGGAAGCGCAUCGGAAACUGGGAAACUUGAGUGCAGAAGAGGACAGUGGAACUCCAUGUGUAGCGGUGAAAUGCGUAGAUAUAUGGAAGAACACCAGUGGCGAAGGCGGCUGUCUGGUCUGUAACUGACGCUGAGGCUCGAAAGCAUGGGUAGCGAACAGGAUUAGAUACCCUGGUAGUCCAUGCCGUAAACGAUGAAUGCUAGGUGUUGGAGGGUUUCCGCCCUUCAGUGCCGCAGCUAACGCAUUAAGCAUUCCGCCUGGGGAGUACGACCGCAAGGUUGAAACUCAAAGGAAUUGACGGGGGCCCGCACAAGCGGUGGAGCAUGUGGUUUAAUUCGAAGCAACGCGAAGAACCUUACCAGGUCUUGACAUCUUUUGAUCACCUGAGAGAUCAGGUUUCCCCUUCGGGGGCAAAAUGACAGGUGGUGCAUGGUUGUCGUCAGCUCGUGUCCUGAGAUGUUGGGUUAAAUCCCGCAACAAGGGCAACCCUUUUAAUAAUUUGCCCGCAUUUUGUUGGGCCCCCAUUAAGAAAGCGGGGGACAAACCCGAGGAAAGGGGGGGGGGACGCCAA
rnacentral:rRNA from 1 species